GAUGAACGCUGGCGGCGUGCCUAAUACAUGCAAGUCGAGCGAACGGACGAGAAGCUUGCUUCUCUGAUGUUAGCGGCGGACGGGUGAGUAACACGUGGAUAACCUACCUAUAAGACUGGGAUAACUUCGGGAAACCGGAGCUAAUACCGGAUAAUAUUUUGAACCGCAUGGUUCAAAAGUGAAAGACGGUCUUGCUGUCACUUAUAGAUGGAUCCGCGCUGCAUUAGCUAGUUGGUAAGGUAACGGCUUACCAAGGCAACGAUGCAUAGCCGACCUGAGAGGGUGAUCGGCCACACUGGAACUGAGACACGGUCCAGACUCCUACGGGAGGCAGCAGUAGGGAAUCUGCCGCAAUGGGCGAAAGCCUGACGGAGCAACGCCGCGUGAGUGAUGAAGGUCUUCGGAUCGUAAAACUCUGUUAUUAGGGAAGAACAUAUGUGUAAGUAACUGUGCACAUCUUGACGGUACCUAAGCAGAAAGCCACGGCUAACUACGU
rnacentral:rRNA from 1 species